AUUGAACGCUGGCGGCAGGCCUAACACAUGCAAGUCGAACGAGAGGCGGAGGGGUGUGUAAAGUAUGGGGAAUGCCCGUUAGCGAGGGAUAUCUAUAGGACACGGUAGCUCAUACCCCUUACUAUCGGAUGACCCAUAGGGGAUUGGCUGUUAGGUGGGGUAAUGGGUCACCUGGGCGACGAUCCCUAGCUGGUCUGAGAGGCUGAUCAGCCACACUGGGACUGAGACACGGCCCAGACGCCUACGGAGGCAGCAGUGGGGAAUAUUGCACAAUGGGCGCAAGCCUGAUGCAGCCAUGCCGCGUGUAUGAAGAAGGCCUUAGGGUUGUAAAGUACUUUCAGUCGGGAGGCGUUACCGGCAGAAGAAGCACCGGCUAACUCCGUGCCAGCAGCCGCGGUAAUAC
rnacentral:rRNA from 1 species